CAUACUUGUUCCGCUGUAGCAGCACGUAAAUAUUGGCGUAGUGAAAUAAGUAUUAAACACCAAUAUUAUUGUGCUGCUUUAGCGUGACAGGCAUA
ensembl:miRNA MIR16-2 microRNA 16-2